rnacentral:lncRNA from 1 species
CAGCUAGAAAAUGUCUGAGACCAAAUUUGAACUUAGGACUUCCCAUUUCUAGACCUGACACUCAAUCCCCUGAGCCAAGUAGCUACCCCCAUCUCUAUCUUUUUUUUUCUAGCUACAAAAAGUCAACAGGACAAUUACAGAAUGCUUUUUUGUUGAUACUCAUCUCUCUGUUCUUGACUAAAUGGUUAGUUGUUGUUGUUGUUGUUCAGUCAUUUCAGAUGUGUUCAACUCUUUGUGACCUCAUUUGAGGUUUUCUUGGCAAAGAGACUCAGGUAAAUUGUUAUUUCCUUCUCCAACUUGUUUUACAGGAAACUGAGGCAAACAGGGUUAAGUGACUUGCCUAGGAAUAUAUAUAUAGUCAUGUAAUGACUAAGUGUCUGAUAUAUGAACUGAGGAAGAUGCAUCUUCUGACCCCAGAACUGGAAUUCUAUCCACUGCACCACCUAGCUGACUCGAUAUAUUACCUUGCUUUUUAUUGUUGCUUUAUUUGCUGAUUGUUUGAGUUCAGGGAAACUACAUUUGAUUUUAUUUGCAGUCAAAAUGUGUCCAGCCUAAUUUCAUGCAUCUGUGAAGACCAUGAGGUCUGAAUUGAUGCUGGAGACUUAUUUACAGUCAUGAAAAUAGCUUUCUGGGUACUUACGUCGUAUGAUAGUCUUAGAAAUAAGCUAAGAACCCCUUCUGGUUUUCUAAUUCUUUAAUGUUCAUCUUCACCUCCAGAGCUUUCCUUCUUGACCCAACUUCCGACAUUUCUAGGUUGAAGAGUUCCCAGAAGAGGAAACUGGGGCCUAGAGACAUGAAGAGAGUUGUGCAAGGUUACACAGAGAGUCAGUAGCAGAGACAGAAGUUGAAACCAGAUCUCCUCAGAUUUUAGGCAAUAAGGUGUUAUCUAGAAGAAUCACUGAAUUUGAGAGAUGGAAGGAACUAUAAUGACCAUGUAGUCCAAUAUAUCUUUGAGAGGAAUCUCUAUGAUAGCAUACUCAACAUCCUCUGAAGACCUCCACUGAAGGGAAACUCAACACCUCUCAAGGUCGUCCAUUCCACUUUUGGACAAUAGAAACUAUUAGGACAUUUUACCUGAUUUCAAACCUAAAUUUUCCUCUCUAUAAAAUACAUAAUAUAUAAACCUAAUACUUGUCUGUGGGACCAAAUAAAACAACUCUAAUCCCUAC